rnacentral:tRNA from 1 species
GGUGGCUCAGAGGUAGAGCAUUUGCCUUGCAUGCAUGAGGCCCUGGGUUCAAUUCCUCAGCACCA